GACGAACGCUGGCGGCGUGCCUAAUACAUGCAAGUUGAGCGCUGAAGGUUGGUACUUGUACCAACUGGAUGAGCAGCGAACGGGUGAGUAACGCGUGGGGAAUCUGCCUUUGAGCGGGGGACAACAUUUGGAAACGAAUGCUAAUACCGCAUAAAAACUUUAAACACAAGUUUUAAGUUUGAAAUAUGCAAUUGCAUCACUCAAAGAUGAUCCCGCGUUGUAUUAGCUAGUUGGUGAGGUAAAGGCUCACCAAGGCGAUGAUACAUAGCCGACCUGAGAGGGUGAUCGGCCGCAUUGGGAGUGAGACACGGCCCAAACUCCUACGGGAGGCAGCAGUAGUGAAUCUUCGGCAAUGGACGAAAGUCUGACCGAGCAACGCCGCGUGAGUGAAGAAGGUUGUCGGAUCGUAAAACUCUGUUGGUAGAGAAGAACGUUGGUGAGAGUGGAAAGCUCAUCAAGUGACGGUAACUACUCAGAAAGGGACGGCUAACUACGUG
rnacentral:rRNA from 1 species